rnacentral:rRNA from 1 species
GAUGAACGCUAGCUACAGGCUUAACACAUGCAAGUCGAGGGGCAGCAUGGUCUUAGCUUGCUAAGGCCGAUGGCGACCGGCGCACGGGUGAGUAACACGUAUCCAACCUGCCGUCUACUCUUGGACAGCCUUCUGAAAGGAAGAUUAAUACAAGAUGGCAUCAUGAGUCCGCAUGUUCACAUGAUUAAAGGUAUUCCGGUAGACGAUGGGGAUGCGUUCCAUUAGAUAGUAGGCGGGGUAACGGCCCACCUAGUCUUCGAUGGAUAGGGGUUCUGAGAGGAAGGUCCCCCACAUUGGAACUGAGACACGGUCCAAACUCCUACGGGAGGCAGCAGUGAGGAAUAUUGGUCAAUGGGCGAGAGCCUGAACCAGCCAAGUAGCGUGAAGGAUGACUGCCCUAUGGGUUGUAAACUUCUUUUAUAAAGGAAUAAAGUCGGGUAUGCAUACCCGUUUGCAUGUACUUUAUGAAUAAGGAUCGGCUAACUCCGUGCCAGCAGCCGCGGUAAUACGGAGGAUCCGAGCGUUAUCCGGAUUUAUUGGGUUUAAAGGGAGCGUAGAUGGAUGUUUAAGUCAGUUGUGAAAGUUUGCGGCUCAACCGUAAAAUUGCAGUUGAUACUGGAUAUCUUGAGUGCAGUUGAGGCAGGCGGAAUUCGUGGUGUAGCGGUGAAAUGCUUAGAUAUCACGAAGAACUCCGAUUGCGAAGGCAGCCUGCUAAGCUGCAACUGACAUUGAGGCUCGAAAGUGUGGGUAUCAAACAGGAUUAGAUACCCUGGUAGUCCACACGGUAAACGAUGAAUACUCGCUGUUUGCGAUAUACGGCAAGCGGCCAAGCGAAAGCGUUAAGUAUUCCACCUGGGGAGUACGCCGGCAACGGUGAAACUCAAAGGAAUUGACGGGGGCCCGCACAAGCGGAGGAACAUGUGGUUUAAUUCGAUAAUACGCGAGGAACCUUACCCGGGCUUAAAUUGCAGAUGAAUUACGGUGAAAGCCGUAAGCCGCAAGGCAUCUGUGAAGGUGCUGCAUGGUUGUCGUCAGCUCGUGCCGUGAGGUGUCGGCUUAAGUGCCAUAACGAGCGCAACCCUUGUUGUCAGUUACUAACAGGUCAUGCUGAGGACUCUGACAAGACUGCCAUCGUAAGAUGUGAGGAAGGUGGGGAUGACGUCAAAUCAGCACGGCCCUUACGUCCGGGGCUACACACGUGUUACAAUGGGGGGUACAGAGGGCCGCUACCACGCGAGUGGAUGCCAAUCCCAAAAACCUCUCUCAGUUCGGACUGGAGUCUGCAACCCGACUCCACGAAGCUGGAUUCGCUAGUAAUCGCGCAUCAGCCACGGCGCGGUGAAUACGUUCCCGGGCCUUGUACACACCGCCCGUCAAGCCAUGGGAGCCGGGGGUACCUGAAGUGCGUAACCGCGAGGAGCGCCCUAGGGUAAAACUGGUGACUGGGGC